UGAUUUUGAACAGCUAAAAAUAAAAAAAUUAAUUAAAAUAACAAAAUACAAUUUUCUCUUUUUUUUUUUUGGUUUUAAAGAUUUAAAUGGAAAUAACACAAAUACUAGAAAUAAAUAACUUUUCUGGUUUUUUGUCUCUUUAAAUAAAUAGCAAAUAUUUUUGUUUUUUUUUUUUUUUUUCUAAAGAUAAGGAAGCAAUCAAACAAGAAUAAAGCAAGAAACAAAUUUUUAUUUUGGUUUUCGACUUUAUAAGAACUAAAACAACAAAACAGAAAAAGAUAAAGGUUGGAAUGACACAACCUGUUGGGUAGGAGCUUUUGAAGCUCUGAUACCAGAUGAUACACGCUCCGAAGGGCUAACGGACGGGCAGAAAGGGUUUAUCGAGUUGGCCUUCGCUCUCUCUCGAUGGAACCACGAACAAAGAAGAAUCGAUCGAUGGAUCGAUGGAUAGACGUGAUUGACUCGCUCAAUCAAUGGACGAACAAGAGGGAUGAAUCACUCAACACCACCCCUUAAUUCACAGCUUCAAUAGACUAUAGUGAAUCACACACUUAAAUCUAAAGAACAAACAAACACAAAGUUACUCGAUCUUUAUAAAGAAGAAAACACUUUCUUUUAAUUUCAAUGAUCAAGGGUACUUUACAAUGAAUCAUGAGCUGAGCUUUUAUAGUCUCAAUAUACAACGUUCCUAGAGUCUAAAACAAGAAAACAAAUCGCAAAAAUAUAAAGAAUAUAGCCGUUGGAGCUUUGAUGACAAAAUCGGCCAAAAUAAGGAAAGUGUCUUCUCUUGUAUCUUGAAAGCUUGGGGAGGAAUGUGUGACGUCUUGGAACAUUCUGGGAUGUUUUUAGAGUCUUUAAAACGCAGCAGCUUUGGUAGAAAUAGAGCCGUUGAUGUCUAAACCCUCCUAGUGUGAAUGCGCCUAGAAAUGGAAAGUUGGAGUGGAAGAGGAUUCGCCUAAUCCUCUGGAUGCUGGUGC
rnacentral:lncRNA from 1 species